rnacentral:lncRNA from 1 species
CUUUUUCUCAGUCUUCUUGGUGGUCAUCUUGGUCAUCAUCGUUUCUUGGUUAUGCAAACGACUUAAUUCCAGAAGUCAACAAAGUCGUUCCGGUAUUGCUGGCGGCGGUGUUGGUGUUGGUGAUGGUGAUGGUGGUGGUAAUAAUAACAAUAAUACUGUUAUUGUUAUAAAUAAUGACAAUGACGAUAGCCGUGGUGUUAAUUCCUCUUUAAUACAACAAUUACCUGUGGUCAUCUAUGACAAGUACAUCAAAAAAGAGGAAGGGCUGAUGUGUAGCAUUUGUGUGAUGGAUUUCGAAGAUACAGAGUUUCUCCGGCUGUUACCUAAGUGCGAGCAUGCUUUCCACAGUUUAUGUAUAGAAGAAUGGCUUAAGAUUUGUAUGACAU